rnacentral:rRNA from 1 species
GGUUUGUAAACUUCUUUUAUAUUAGAAUAAAGUGCAGUAUGUAUACUGUUUUGUAUGUAUAAUAUGAAUAAGGAUCGGCUAACUCCGUGCCAGCAGCCGCGGUAAUACGGAGGAUCCGAGCGUUAUCCGGAUUUAUUGGGUUUAAAGGGAGCGUAGGUGGGCUGGUAAGUCAGUUGUGAAAGUUUGCGGCUCAACCGUAAAAUUGCAGUUGAUACUGUCAGUCUUGAGUACAGUAGAGGUGGGCGGAAUUCGUGGUGUAGCGGUGAAAUGCUUAGAUAUCACGAAGAACUCCGAUUGCGAAGGCAGCUCACUGGACUGCAACUGACACUGAUGCUCGAAAGUGUGGGUAUCAAACAGGAUUAGAUACCCUGGUAGUCCACACAGUAAA